rnacentral:tRNA from 1 species
GCAUUAGAGGUUCAGUGGUAGAAUGUUUGCCUUCCAUGUGAAAAAUCCAGGUUCGAUUCCUGACCAAUGCA